UCCAUUAUAUAUGUGUGCCCCUAAUGAAUGUUCCGUUUAAGGUCAAAAAAUCUCGCCAAUCCAAAAAUCAGGUGGGCCACACCACAGGUAACAGUUGGGAUGGGGUGCUCACUCUCCUUGUUUCUGCUUAUUCUGUCUAAGGCCAUGUUCUCUUCUUGCAGUAAGAUUGAUGGGCUAGGGAUCAAUGGAACAUUGUGUCUCCAGCUAUCAAGCCUCCUCUCACUGAAAUAUAUGUAAUAAGAAGAACUUCCAAGAUGCCUGCUUCUUUUACGCAUUUGCUAAGAACCAUAAGCGUAUGUCCAACGUGCAAGUACCAUUUGAACGUUUUCACUGGAGCUAUUGGAGGUAAUCAUUUUCUUACAUGCAUAUCUGACUCACAUCCUUUUAUUUUCUUGUGGUUAAGAUAAAAAUAUUGUUGAAACUUCAUUUAAAUUUUGGUUUAUGGAAUUACAGUUUGCUAUUUUGGUUUACCCCAAGAAUUAAAACAUAACAGUAGAAGUGAUGUAAAAGAGUAAGGAAGCUAAGUUGGCAAUUCUCAUGGCAUCAAAUUCUACAUGAAUACAUUGCUUGUCUGAAGUCAUUUUGAGCCUUUUAAACAGUUGCCGUGGAUUCAUUUUGAUUGUUUUA